GAUGAACGCUGACUGAAGGCUUAACACAUGCAAGUCGAUGGGAAAGUGGUGCUUGCGCCAGGGUAACCAUGGCGGACAGGUGAGUAACGCGUAAGGAACUUGCCUGCGGGACCGGGAUAACAGCAGGAAACUGCUGACAAGACCGGAUAAGGUCAUUAAGCCGCAGAUCUCAGUGAUGAAAGGAAACUCCAGCGGAGAGCCUUGCGUCCUAUUAUCUAUCUGAAGGGGUAACGGCCCACCAAAGCGAACACCGGUGGCCCGCCUGAUAGGGUGGACGGCCACAAGGGGACUGAGGUACGGCCCUUACUCCUACCGGAGGCCGCACUGGGGAAUAUUGGACAAUGGGGGCAACCCUGAUCCAGCAAUUCUGUGUGCACGAAGACGGUUUUCGGAUUGUAAAGUGCUUUCAGCAGGGAAGAAUUGAAUGACGGUACCUGCAGAAGAAGCGACGGCUAUGUACGUGCCAGCAGCCGCGGAAUACGUAUGUCGCGAGCGUUAUCCGGAAUUAUUGGGCAUGAAGGGCAUCUAUGCGGACUUUCAGGUCUGGGGUGAAAACCUGCGGGUCAACCGCAGGUCUGGCUUUGAGUCUGAUCUGCUGGAGUACCGGACAGGUGGACGGAACUGCACGAAUAAAGCUGAAAUUCGUAGAUAUGUGCAGGAAUGCCGAUAAUGAUAUAAUUCACUGGACAGUUACUGACGCUGAAGUGCGAGAGCCGGGGGAGCGAACAGG
rnacentral:rRNA from 1 species